rnacentral:rRNA from 1 species
CCUACGGGAGGCAGCAGUAGGGAAUAUUGCUCAAUGGGGGAAACCCUGAAGCAGCAACGCCGCGUGGAUGAUGAAGGUUUUCGGAUUGUAAACUCCUGUUGUUAGAGAAGAUAAUGACGGUAUCUAACGAAUAAGCACCGGCUAACUCCGUGCCAGCAGCCGCGGUAAUACUGAGGGUGCAAGCGUUACUCGGAAUCACUGUGCGUAAAGAGCGCGUAGACGGGAUAGCAAGUCAGAUGUGAAAUCAUAUGGCUUAACCAUAGAACUGCAUUUGAAACUGUUAUUCUAGAGUAUGGGAGAGGUAAGUGGAAUUCUAGGUGUAGGGGUAAAAUCCGUAGAGAUCAAGAGGAAUACUCAUUGCGAAGGCGACCUGCUAGAACAUAACUGACGCUGAUGCGCGAAAGCGUGGGGAGCAAACAGGAUUAGAUACCCGGGUAGUC